UAAGGAAUAUUGCUCAAUGGGAGAAAUCCUGAAGCAGCAACACCGCGUGGAGGAUGAAGGGUCUAUGACUUGUAAACUCCUGUAAAGAAGGAAAAAAUUCCCAUUAGAUGGGAGAUGAUGGUACUUCUGGAGUAAGCCCCGGCUAACUACGUGCCAGCAGCCGCGGUAAUACGUAGGGGGCAAGCGUUGUCCGGAUUUACUGGGUGUAAAGGGUGCUCAGGCGGAUUUGUAAGUCAGAGGUGAAAUCUUACAGCUUAACUGUGAAACUGCCUUUGAUACUGCAAGCCUAGAGUAUGGAAGAGAGUGAUGGAAUAUCUGGUGUAGCAGUGAAAUGCGUAGAUAUCAGAUAGAACACCAAUGGCGAAGGCAGUCACUUGGUCCAUUACUGACGCUAAAGCACGAAAGCGUGGGUAGCAAACA
rnacentral:rRNA from 1 species